UACAGAGGUCUCAAGCGUUGUUCGGAUUCAUUGGGCGUAAAGGGUGCGUAGGCGGCGCGGUAAGUCGGGUGUGAAAUCUCGGAGCUUAACUCCGAAACUGCAUUCGAUACUGCCGUGCUUGAGGACUGGAGAGGAGACUGGAAUUUACGGUGUAGCGGUGGAAUGCGCAGAUAUCAGGAGGAACACCAAUAGCGAAGGCAGCUCGCUGGGACGGUACUGACGCUAAGGCGCGAAAGCGUGGGGAGCGAACAGG
rnacentral:rRNA from 1 species